rnacentral:tRNA from 1 species
GUGCUUGUAGCUCAGUGGAUAGAGCAUUUGUUACGUAGCACAAAGUCGUAGGUUCAAAUCUUACUUGGCACG